CAGCCGCCACGGGAAUACGAAGGGGGCUAGCGUUGCUCGGAAUGACUGGGCGUAAAGGGCGCGUAGGCGGCAUGUACAGUCAGACGUGAAAUUCCUGGGCUUAACCUGGGGGCUGCGUUUGAUACGUGCAGGCUAGAGUGGGGAAGAGGGUUGUGGAAUUCCCAGUGUAGAGGUGAAAUUCGUAGAUAUUGGGAAGAACACCGGUGGCGAAGGCGGCAACCUGGUCCUUGACUGACGCUGAGGCGCGAAAGCGUGGGGAGCGAACAGGAUUAGAUACCCCCGUAGUCCCUGUCUCUUAUAC
rnacentral:rRNA from 1 species